rnacentral:tRNA from 2 species
GGACUCGUAGCUCAGUUGGCAGAGCAUACGCCUCUUAAGCGUGGGGUCGCAGGUUCGAUGCCUGCCGGGUCUA